GGUGCAUGUCACUUUGGGUUCCGCAUACUGUGUACAGCCCCAAAGGAGAGGUGAGGAGAGGAAAGGACACAUCACUAGUAGUGGACCCAAGGAUCAUGGAGUGUUUUGGCCAUUAUCACAAAACACCCUCACCUGAGGAAGGCCCUGCCGAGGUUGAUCAAGCCCUGGAGUGUGUCCCAUAUCCAACUGGAGUCUUGUUGCUGAGAGCUAAAGUUGGACUUCCUGUGUCACAGGAAGUAGGAAGUGGGUAGAUGGCCAGCAGUGUUGACCGCAUGGUGAGUGACUUUCAUGAGCUCUCUAAAAUUUUGAUGAAAACUCUUCAAAAUGUGUAGUGAACCUUUUGAAACUUGUGUGUAGUAGCUUUAUCUCAAGUCUGCAAGUUGUUUUCAAUUUAUUACGCUUGUUAAAUAGAUUGAAAUUUGGAACUUGAAGCAGGUUGACUUUUGAAAUUCAGUGUUAAUUUUGGGGCACUUUCUGGUGACCCAGAAUUAUGACAAAAUUUGACAGACAUAUUUGGUAGGACGCUCUCUCUCAGCCAGAAGGGGGUUGCAACUCUCUAGAACAUUGUAUGGCCAAACAGGGCUGAAAUAGUAUGGGGAUUAGGCUUCCUUUGACUUAAUAUUCUGACCUCUUGACAUGUCAGCGCCACCACU